UGCUGCUCUCAAAGACCCGGCCUCCCGGCCAGAGGCCUCCGGUUUCCAUCCGUGGCACCACAGAGAGCCUGUUUAGAAACAACAACGCUGCCUGGGCUGGACAUGUAAUAGCAUCAUGGGUGCCAUCGACCUCAAAGUGAAGGGCCUCAGGACUCUGACAAAGCCGACAGCAGGAUGCCCUGAACACGCCACAGCGCCUAAUGGAAUCUGCAUGAAAAUUUCAUUUUCUCCACAUAAUGACUGGGUUCUAAAAUAUUCAAUGUUUUACCACCUGGACAUGUGUAACAGAUCUAAUCUGAUAAAGAACUUGUGGAAAGCCUGGAACAGAAUGCCUUUUCCAAGACCACUUCCUGUGUGCCAUGGAAUCAUAGGAUGCCAAAAGCUCACUCUCUAAUUCGACCCAUGCUCUUGCUCUGCAGUGUCUAGAGUGUGAUAAACAGUUAGCCUAUUAGAAAUAUUUGGUAGACCCUGAUGCAGAGAUGGAAAAUAGUUAUCACUUUUAAAAAAUAAAAUUAAGAGGCGCG